rnacentral:rRNA from 1 species
AUCUAUGGCCAUGCUACCCUGAACAAGCCCAAUCCCAUCUGAUCUUGAAAGCUAAGCAGGGUCAGGCCUGGUUAGUACUUGGAUGGGAGACCACCUAGGAAGACCAGGUGCUGGAGGCA